UUAUUUUUGGUUAAAGGGUUAGGCGUUAAAAAGCUUUGCUUCUGUCUAUACCCUUUCAGGCACAUGGAUGCAUUGUUAAUUCAUUUUCUUUCUUCGUUGUAAGUUUUUUUGUUGUUGUUUUGGACUGUGUCUGUGUGUGUCUGUGUG